CAGAUUGAACGCUGGCGGCAUGGGCUAAAACAUGCAAGUCGAACGCGAACGUCUUCGGACUAGUAGAGUGGCGUAAGGGCGAGGAAUGCGUUCCUAACGUGCCCCCGGGUCGGGGAUAGCUCACCGAAAGGUGUGGUAAUACCCGAUGACCCCGGUGAUCCGCAUGGACCGCCGGGCAAAGGCUUGCUGCCCGGGGAUCGGGGAACGUGGUAUCAGCUUGUUGGUGAGGUAACGGCUCACCAAGGCUUAGACGCCUAGCGGGUGUGAGAGCAUGACCCGCCGCAUCGGGACUGAGACACUGCCCGGACUCCUACGGGAGGCUGCAGUAACGAAUAUUCCGCAAUGCGCGAAAGCGUGACGGAGCAAUGCCGCGUGUGGGAUGAAGCCCCUUGGGGUGUAAACCACUGUCAGGGUGUAGGAACCCAAUGACCGCAUCCAGAGGAAGGACCGGCUAACUUCGUGCCAGCAGCCGCGGUAAUACGAAGGGUCCAAGCGUUAAUCGGAAUCACUGGGCUUAAAGCGUGCGCAGGCGGACCCGCAAGCAUCUUGUGAAAUCCCACCGCCCAACGGUGGAACCGCUCGGUGAACUGCGGGUCUUGAGGCUGGUAGGGGCCGUCGGAACGAUUGGUGGAGCGGUGAAAUGCGUAGAUAUCAAUCGGAACGCCAAAGACGAAGGUAGGCGGCUGGGCCAGUCCUGACGCUCAGGCACGAAAGCGUGGGUAGCGAACGGGAUUAGAUACCCCGGUAGUCCACGCCGUAAACGAUGCGCACUAGGUCGAGAGGGUUCUGACACCAACUCGGCCGAAGCAAAAGUGUUAAGUGCGCCGCCUGGGGAGUACGGUCGCAAGGCUAAAACUCAAAGGAAUUGACGGGGGCUCACACAAGCGGUGGAGCAUGUGGCUUAAUUCGAAGCAACGCGAAGAACCUUACCAGGGUUUGACAUGCACGGAUUAGCUUUAUGAAAGUAAAGUGACAGGUUUACCUGGAACGUGCACAGGUGCUGCAUGGCUGUCGUCAGCUCGUGCUGUGAAGUGUCGCGUUAAGUCGCUCAACGAGCGAAACCCCUAUCGUUAGUUGCCAACAGGUAAUGCUGGGGACUCUAACGAGACUGCCGGUGUCAAACCGGAGGAAGGUGGGGAUGACGUCAAGUCCUCAUGGCCCUUAUGCCCUGGGUUGCACACGUGCUACAAUGGUAUGGACAGAGCGACGCAAUAUCGCAAGAUGGAGCAAAUCGCAAAAACCAUGCCUCAGUUCGGAUUGUGGUCUGCAACUCGACCACAUGAAGCUGGAAUCGCUAGUACUCGCGUAUCAGCUACGACGCGGUGAUACGUUCCUGAGCCUUGUACACACCGCCCGUCAAGUCAUGGAAGCCGGGAAUG
rnacentral:rRNA from 1 species